AACUGUUGUAAAACAUUACACAAUUCUAUUGCUCUGAAAAUAUUAAUAUGAUCCUCCAGGAUACAAAUGCACCUUCACUGAAAUAAAUUAUGAACUAAAAGUAUUCUUGAUUAUUUUAUCUUACAAAGUGAAGAGACUGUAUAUUUUAUAUUUAUAUUUUCCAUGCACAGUGGUCUGUUCUUCCAUUAUCUUUUCUUAUGAGAGGCAUAAUGACAAAUAAGUCCAAAGAAUGUGUAGCAUUAUUAUGGCAGAUCAAUCAAAUGGCUAAUUACCCCUCUUAUCUAAGUGGCAUUAUCUUGCUUUAAAGGUGAUGAAAAUAACAAAUGAAGAAGUUAUUUCGUUUUUUUAAAAACAAUUCUGUAAGGAACCAGUCUAUCACUGAUGGGCAUUUGGGUUGGUUCCAAGUCUUUGCUAUUGUGAAUAGUGCUGCAAUAAAUAUACAUGUGCUUGUGUCUUUAUGGUAGAAUGAUUUAUAAUCCUUGGGGUAUAUACCCAGUAAUGGGAUUGCUGGAAUAAAAAUUAUUGGAUUAUGGGGGGAGAAAAUACAUACAAAUGGCCAACAGAUAGA
rnacentral:antisense_RNA from 1 species